GCAUUGGUGGGUCAGUGGUAGAGUUCUCCCCUUCCAUGUGGGAGAUCUGGAUUUGAUUCACAGCCAAUGCA
rnacentral:tRNA from 1 species